rnacentral:rRNA from 1 species
AUUGAACGCUGGCGGCAGGCCUAACACAUGCAAGUCGAGCGGAUGAAGGGAGCUUGCUCCUGGAUUCAGCGGCGGACGGGUGAGUAAUGCCUAGGAAUCUGCCUGGUAGUGGGGGAUAACGUCCGGAAACGGGCGCUAAUACCGCAUACGUCCUGAGGGAGAAAGUGGGGGAUCUUCGGACCUCACGCUAUCAGAUGAGCCUAGGUCGGAUUAGCUAGUUGGUGGGGUAAAGGCCUACCAAGGCGACGAUCCGUAACUGGUCUGAGAGGAUGAUCAGUCACACUGGAACUGAGACACGGUCCAGACUCCUACGGGAGGCAGCAGUGGGGAAUAUUGGACAAUGGGCGGAAGCCUGAUCCAGCCAUGCCGCGUGUGUGAAGAAGGUCUUCGGAUUGUAAAGCACUUUGAGUUGGGAGGAAGGGCAGUAAGUUAAUACCUUGCUGUUUUGACGUUACCAACAGAAUAAGCACCGGCUAACUUCGUG